GUCUACAACCAUGAGAAUAGUAGUGAACCCAGCAGAGCUAGGAAGCUCAACAAUAAAGUCCAUGGAUAAGUGGGACAAUGGAAUCUCAGGAACAGGAAGAGGCUGCAACAGGCCACAAGGAAGUGCAUGAGUCACCUUAGAAACUGCACACACAGAACAUGCCUGCACAUACUCCUUUACAUCUUUCCUGAGUGAAUCCCACCAAAAUGAUCUAGUGAUCGCGGCAGUGGACUUAUUGAUGCCCGGGUGUCCAGCAGUUAUAUUGUCAUGGAACACUUUCAUGAUAUUAAC
rnacentral:lncRNA from 1 species